UUCGCAAUGCCCGAAAGGGUGACGAAGCGACGCCGCGUGUGGGAAGGAGGCCUUCGGGUUGUAAACCACUGUCGGGAGUUAGGAAAUGCAGGUGCGUUAAUAGCGCACUUGCUUGACUAAGGCUCCAGAGGAAGCCACGGCUAACUCUGUGCCAGCAGCCGCGGUAAUACAGAGGCGGCAAGCGUUGUUCGGAAUUAUUGGGCGUAAAGAGCACGUAGGCGGCCUUGCAAGUCAGUUGUGAAAGCCUUCCGCUUAACGGAAGAACGGCAUCUGAUACUACAGGGCUUGAGUACGGGAGGGGAGAGUGGAACUUCUGGUGGAGCGGUGAAAUGCGUAGAUAUCAGAAGGAACGCCGGCGGCGAAAGCGACUCUCUGGUCCGAAACUGACGCUGAGUGUGCGAAAGCUAGGGGAGCAAACGGGAUUAGAUACCCCGGUAGUCCUAGCCGUAAACGAUGGGCACUAAGUAGAGGGGUUUUA
rnacentral:rRNA from 1 species